UAAUCCUAAAGUCUAUUUUUUGAUUAGAUCUCAAAUCAGG
rnacentral:rRNA from 1 species